rnacentral:rRNA from 1 species
GCUCGUAGUUGAAUGUCGAACUUAUCUACGUUGCGGCUUUCAGUCGAGACGUUAGGUAGUUCUCCGUCUGCAAAGCUCCUUGGCCUUUAAACGGGCUAAUUUGAUGAGUAGACAAUUUACCUUGAAAAAAUUAGAGUGUUCCAGGCAGGUCUUAGCCGGAAUACAUUAGCAUGGAAUAAUGGAAUAGGACUUUUAUCCUUUGUUGGUUUGAGGGUGAGAGUAAUGAUUAAUAGGGACAGAUGGGGGCAUUAGUAUUUAAUUGUCAGAGGUGAAAUUCUUGGAUUUAUUAAAGACUAACUUAUGCGAAAGCAUUUGCCAAGGAUGUUUU